CCUUCGAUGUCGGCUCUUCCUAUCAUUGCGAAGCAGAAUUCGCCAAGCGUUGGAUUGUUCACCCACCAACACGGAACGUGAGCUGGGGUUAGACCGUCGUGAGACAGGUU
rnacentral:rRNA from 1 species